rnacentral:tRNA from 1 species
UCCGGUGUAGCUCAACGAGGUAGAGCAUCCGUAUGUCGGCUGAUGCGGAAGGUUGUGCGGUUCGAGUCCGUCCGCCGGAA